GUGGGGAUAGACCUCAGUGGUAGAGCACUUGACUAGUAUACAGGAGGCCCUGAGUUCAAUCCAAUCCCCAUU
rnacentral:tRNA from 1 species